UAACUACUCUCUUCGUUUAGAAAUACUUGUCCUAAAAUUUAUUAUAUCUAGAUUUAUUUUAGUUAUAGAUACAUCUAUUUUAUUCAUUUUUAGGACAAGUAUUUCUGGACAGAGGAAGUAGAAA
rnacentral:pre_miRNA from 1 species